rnacentral:lncRNA from 1 species
AUCUUCGUAGAACCUGGAUGAAUAGAAAAUGGCAAACUAUGAGCCUCAGCCAACACAGCCUCCCGAAUGAUUGGAUUUGAUGGUACACAGAAUCGAUCACCCAACCAAAUCACAUCGUGAUCAUCAAUACAAAACUCAGGCUGUUUGCCCUCCUCCAGAUUUUGCGCCAUACUCCAUAAUUCCCUAUCUUCCUUUUGAGCUUCUU